rnacentral:rRNA from 1 species
UGGGGAAUAUUGCACAAUGGGCGCAAGCCUGAUGCAGCCAUGCCGCGUGUAUGAAGAAGGCCUUCGGGUUGUAAAGUACUUUCAGCGGGGAGGAAGGGAGUAAAGUUAAUACCUUUGCUCAUUGACGUUACCCGCAGAAGAAGCACCGGCUAACUCCGUGCCAGCAGCCGCGGUAAUACGGAGGGUGCAAGCGUUAAUCGGAAUUACUGGGCGUAAAGCGCACGCAGGCGGUUUGUUAAGUCAGAUGUGAAAUCCCCGGGCUCAACCUGGGAACUUCAUCUGAUACUGGCAAGCUUGAGUCUCGUAGAGGGGGGUAGAACUCCAGGUGUAGCGGUGAAAUGCGUAGAGAUCUGGAGGAAUACCGGUGGCGAAGGCGGACCCCUGGACGAAGACCGACGCUCAGGUGCGACAGCGUGGGGAGCAAACAGG